UACGUAGGGUGCGAGCGUUGUCCGGAAUUAUUGGGCGUAAAGAGCUCGUAGGCGGUGUGUCACGUCGGCCGUGAAAACUUGCAGCUUAACUGUGGGCGUGCGGUCGAUACGGGCAUCACUGGAGUUCGGCAGGGGAGACUGGAAUUCCUGGUGUAGCGGUGAAAUGCGCAGAUAUCAGGAGGAACACCGGUGGCGAAGGCGGUUCUCUGGGCCUGUACUGACGCUGAGGAGCGAAAGCGUGGGGAGCGAACAGG
rnacentral:rRNA from 1 species